ACUGUGAAGCAUCCUGUUAAGUCAGGCAACGAGCGAGACCCACGCCAACAGUUUGCCAGCUCGUCCUCCGGGAUGGUGGGGACACUGUUGGGACCGCUCUGCUAAAGAGGAGGAAGGAAUGGGCAACGGUAGGUCAGCAUGCCCCGAAUUAUCUGGGCUACACGCGGGCUACAAUGGGUGGGACAAUGGGUAUCGACACCGAAAGGUGAAGGCAAUCUCCUAAACCCAUCCGUAGUUCGGAUUGUGGGCUGCAACUCGCCCACAUGAAGCUGGAAUCUGUAGUAAUCGUGUCUCAAAAUGGCACGGUGAAUAUGUCCCUGCUCCUU
rnacentral:rRNA from 1 species